UUCCGUAAGGGUGACCUGCGGAGGGAUCAUUACACAAAUAUGAAGGCGGGCUGGAACCUCUCGGGGUUACAGCCUUGCUGAAUUAUUCACCCUUGUCUUUUGCGUACUUCUUGUUUCCUUGGUGGGUUCGCCCACCACUAGGACAAACAUAAACCUUUUGUAAUUGCAAUCAGCGUCAGUAACAAAUUAAUAAUUACAACUUUCAACAACGGAUCUCUUGGUUCUGGCAUCGAUGAAGAACGCAGCGAAAUGCGAUAAGUAGUGUGAAUUGCAGAAUUCAGUGAAUCAUCGAAUCUUUGAACGCACAUUGCGCCCUUUGGUAUUCCAAAGGGCAUGCCUGUUCGAGCGUCAUUUGUACCCUCAAGCUUUGCUUGGUGUUGGGCGUCUUGUCUCUAGCUUUGCUGGAGACUCGCCUUAAAGUAAUUGGCAGCCGGCCUACUGGUUUCGGAGCGCAGCACAAGUCGCACUCUCUAUCAGCAAAGGUCUAGCAUCCAUUAAGCCUUUUUUUCAACUUUUGACCUCGGAUCAGGUAGGGAUACCCGCUGAACUUAAGCAUAUCAAUAAGCGGAGGAA
rnacentral:rRNA from 1 species